UACGUAGGGGGCAAGCGUUGUCCGGAAUCAUUGGGCGUAAAGAGCGCGUAGGCGGUCCGGUAAGUCCGCUGUGAAAGUCAAGGGCUCAACCCUUGAAUGCCGGUGGAUACUGUCGGGCUAGAGUCCGGAAGAGGCGAGUGGAAUUCCUGGUGUAGCGGUGAAAUGCGCAGAUAUCAGGAAGAACACCGGUGGCGAAGGCGGCUCUCUGGAACGGUACUGACGCUGAGACGCGAAAGCGUGGGGAGCGAACAGG
rnacentral:rRNA from 1 species